ACACUGUUCAUGUGGGCAGCAGCACAUGAGAAAUCAAAGUCUUUGGGUUCCGGGGGGAGUAUGGUCGCAAGGCUGAAACUUAAAGGAAUUGACGGAAGGGCACCACCAGGAGUGGAGCCUGCGGCUUAAUUUGACUCAACACGGGAAAACUUACCAGGUCCAGACAUAGGAAGGAUUGACAGAUUGAGAGCUCUUUCUUGAUUCUAUGGGUGG
rnacentral:rRNA from 1 species